rnacentral:rRNA from 1 species
UGCAGUCGNNCGGGGUCCUUCGGGACCUAGUGGCGCACGGGUGAGUAAUGCAUGGGUAAUCUGCCCUGAAGUGGGGGAUAACUACGGGAAACCGUAGCUAAUACCGCAUAUGUAGGAAACUACAAAGGAGGGGAUCGCAAGACCUUUCGCUUUAGGAUGAGCUCAUGUCCCAUUAGUUUGUUGGGGGGGUAACGGCCCACCAAGACGAAGAUGGGUAGCUGGUCUGAGAGGACGACCAGCCACACUGGAACUGAGACACGGUCCAGACUCCUACGGGAGGCAGCAGUGGGGAAUAUUGCGCAAUGGGGGAAACCCUGACGCAGCAACGCCGCGUGGAUGAUGAAGGCUCUUGGGUCGUAAAAUCCUUUCGAUUGGGAAAUAGGGUCAUUUGGCUAAUAUCCAAGUGAUUUGAUGGUACCUAAAGAAGAAGCACCGGCUAACUUCGUGCCAGCAGCCGCGGUAAUACGAAGGGUGCGAGCGUUGUUCGGAAUCACUGGGCGUAAAGAGUUCGUAGGCGGGAAUGUAAGUUAAGUGUGAAAUCCCUGGGCUCAACCUAGGACGUGCAUUUAAAACUACUUUUCUUGAGUACUGGAGGGGGUUGUGGAAUUGCUGGUGUAGGAGUGACAUCCGUAGAGAUCAGCAGGAACACCGGANGCGAANGCGACAACCUGGNCAGAUACUGACGCUGANGAACGAAAGCGUGGGGAGCAAACAGGANUAGAUACCCUGGUAGUCCACGCCGUAAACGAUGAUGACUAGACGUNNNUGGUAUUGACCCCGUCGGUGUCGCANUUCACGCAUUAA